UGCCCAUGGUUCCCGGAGCAAGGGACUACGGA
rnacentral:piRNA from 1 species